ensembl:lncRNA
GAGUACAUGAACUUUAUUUAAAUAGUGAUUAGCCUUUACAAAAAACAAAAAAACGAGUACAUCAAUUACACACCUGAUAAAUAUUUCACCAUAAUGUUCACAUUAAAGUGUUCAGAGUGUUACUGUGUUGUUGUGUUUACACGUGUGCCUGAAUCAACAGCAUGACAGAGGCUUGCACUGAGAAAAACAGGCUGAUGUGCCGCUGUCAGUGUUCCCCAACCAUCGUGAUAAAGCGAGGAGACAUUUCUAUAUUUCAUUGACUGAAUACUAGGAUUACACAACAAAAUAAACAGCAAAUUAGGCAAAUGCUUGACAAUAGAAUAAAUCUUUUCCUCUGUCGUCAUAGCAGCACUUUGACUGGAAGAUCACGAUAGUCUUUGUCAGCAACCGACUGAAGAGUGAAAACCACAUCCACACCUAAAAUUGUUUUCCUCUUUUGGGCUUGAUCUGUCCCUCAUCCAACAGCUCUGUGGAGCCACAUGCAAAUCAAAAUUCAAACUGGCGUGGGGCAGAAGGCACUUGAAUUUACAUAAAAACUCAGCGACCUUGCUCUUCGCAAAAUGAAGUACUCGAUGAACCCUGAGAGCAAGUCACCAUUGGCCAGCACAUUUGCCUGUGUGGUGGCAGUGAAGACCCUUCACAUGGAAAAAAUAAUCAAUGCGGGGCCUUUGCAUAUGAUUUGUGUGCGAGCUGUGAAGGGAAAUGCACAGCACCGAGUCUGGCAGACAGUAGAACAUGCACACAUACUUUAUACAUACAUUUACAAACAGUGGAAACAGCUGUCUGGAAAGUGAAAGUUCUAUGGGUCUGUCUCAGCUUACACCAACAUCAAUAACAGAAAAUUAAGAAUGUGCGUAAAUCUGACAAUAAGAAAACUCACGGGUUAAGAUGGCAGGACCUAAUGUCCUUCCUCAUAAGGGCUUAUUUAUCAAAAAUGCAACCUGCUUGGAACAUCCUGUUUCACAAGCAUACAAAGCUCGGCUGAGAAUAGCACCAGCCACAAAUAAGUUUAGUCCAAGUGCACUGGAGGACAAAAAAAAAGAUAGACUUAGCUGACUAGGAUGGAAUUUUAUAGGUUUCUUUUUCUUAGCUUGAGACAACCAGUUGAGAUGAGGAAAUUACUAGUCCCAGCGCAAUAACAAUCUGGCACAUAACCUACCUCUGCUAAAUUGCAAACCCUUGUUUUUGUACAAAUUAAGCAAUCAACAAACAUAACUUGUUUAAUUAGAAAGCGUUGGAGACACAGGUUUACUUCCUUUUUUUUCUUUUUUCGAUCCGCCAAGCUAACCAGCUGCUACCUCUAGCAUCAUAUACAAAACAAUGAUCCGAGUCUAUGCUACUAAUCUUCUCAUAUAACUUUCAUUGUCUCAGCCAAAUAAAUGUGCUGUGUUACUAAAAUGCCAAACUUCAUUAAUGCUUGUCAGCUUCUCAUAGCAAACCUUUUCAUUUCUGAAUCUAUGUUGAUCAUAAAAUUAGCUGCAUGACUAUAAUGAAAAAAGUCGCUGUUAGCUUAUUUUGAGCUACAAAAAUGCCUAACAAGUACCAGUAGACUGAAGAAGUUACUUGGAAGUGAUGAAACGUUUCUCCCACUGAAAACGCUACGUCCAGAUGAACAGAAUCAACCACUGUCACCUUUUAAGUGACAGUGGACACCUACAGCCAACUUAGUCACUGUGUCACAAUGUGUAUACAUCCUUUAAGACACUUCCAUGUUGUACAUUAUCUGCACUUACACUCUGCAUUCAUUUACACAGUGUAGAAUUUGUGAAAAUGUACAAGUUAUCAGUCAUUAGACCACAAAAUAAUA